AGUGAACGCUGGCGGUAGGCCUAACACAUGCAAGUCGAACGGCAGCACAGUAAGAGCUUGCUCUUACGGGUGGCGAGUGGCGGACGGGUGAGGAAUACAUCGGAAUCUACUUUUUCGUGGGGGAUAACGUAGGGAAACUUACGCUAAUACCGCAUACGACCUACGGGUGAAAGCAGGGGAUCUUCUGACCUUGCGCGAUUGAAUGAGCCGAUGUCGGAUUAGCUAGUUGGCGGGGUAAAGGCCCACCAAGGCGACGAUCCGUAGCUGGUCUGAGAGGAUGAUCAGGCACACUGGAACUGAGACACGGUCCAGACUCCUACGGGAGGCAGCAGUGGGGAAUAUUGGACAAUGGGCGCAAGCCUGAUCCAGCCAUACCGCGUGGGUGAAGAAGGACUUCGGGUUGUAAAGCCCUUUUGUUGGGAAAGAAAAGCAGCAGGUUAAUACCCCGCUGUUAUGACGGUACCCAAAGAAUAAGCACCGGCUAACUUCGUG
rnacentral:rRNA from 1 species